UACGUAGGGCGCAAGCGUUGUCCGGAAUCACUGGGCGUAAAGCGACCGCAGGCGGCCUGACAAGUCGGAUGUGAAAGCCCUGGGCUCAACUCAGGAAUUGCAUUCGAAACUGGCAGGCUCGAGUACGGGAGAGGGGGGUGGAAUUCCUGGUGUAGGGGUGAAAUUCGUUGAUAUCAGGAGGAACACCGGCGGCGAAGGCGGCCCCCUGGCCUGCAACUGACGCUGAGGAGCGAAAGCGUGGGGAGCAAACAGG
rnacentral:rRNA from 1 species